CGCAAUAAGGGCACGAUCUCAGCUUGUGCCGCAGAAAUUCACGCUUCUCUGAAAACGCGCUUCGCUAUAAAAGAGAAAACAGUGGACAGGAGAGGAAGGCAGAGGAUUAGUUGCCAGAUCGAGAGAAAGCAACCUCUGGAUUUCAUGCGGGUUAGAACUGCGAGGGAGAGCUGAGUGGAGAACGAUUGUACUGGUUUCCCAAUCCCACCGGGCGAUGAAAGGCAAUCCGGGAAAUGAGAAGCGUGAAGGGUGAUGAAAAAUACUGAGACUGAGAAAGGCUGAUAUUUUUGAAAGAAAAUGAGUGUAUUAAUGGUACUUAUUCUCCUGGUCUACAUUGCCGGGCACAACAUUGAAUCAACAACCCUUUCACCAACUGGAGGAUUGAAUGACAUUAUUGAAGAUACAACGUCUCUUGCAUUUGGGGCAUCAGUUAUCAUAAUUAUCACCGUUCUGUUAUCAGGAACUGCCUAUUUGUGCUUCUUGAAGUACAUCUGCUCAGGAUGUUGCAGAUGUACUCGGGUCAAUCCUGCAACAAGACAAGACCCAUGCAAAACAGAGGAGCAGGUGUAAUGAUUUUGUGCAAGAGGUGAAAAUAGCCAUUAAAAAAACUCUUGCAAAAGUUGGAAAAUGAAAUAAAU